GCCUGGGUGAUGGAACUGGUAGACAUAAGGGACUUAAAAUCCCUUGCUCCUGGUGGGCGUGGGGGUUCGACUCCCCCCCCAGGCACCA
rnacentral:tRNA from 1 species